rnacentral:rRNA from 1 species
GAUGAAGGGCGUGCUAAUCUGCGAUAAGCGCCGGUAAGGUGAUAUGAACCGUUAUAACCGGCGAUACCCGAAUGGGGAAACCCAGUGUGACUCGUCACACUAUCAUUAACUGAAUCCAUAGGUUAAUGAGGCGAACCGGGGGAACUGAAACAUCUAAGUACCCCGAGGAAAAGAAAUCAACCGAGAUUCCCCCAGUAGCGGCGAGCGAACGGGGAGGAGCCCAGAGCCUGAAUCAGCAUGUGUGUUAGUGGAAGCGUCUGGAAAGGCGCGCGAUACAGGGUGACAGCCCCGUACACAAAAGCGCAUGUGCUGUGAGCUCGAUGAGUAGGGCGGGACACGUGGUAUCCUGUCUGAAUAUGGGGGGACCAUCCUCCAAGGCUAAAUACUCCUGACUGACCGAUAGUGAACCAGUACCGUGAGGGAAAGGCGAAAAGAACCCCGGCGAGGGGAGUGAAAAAGAACCUGAAACCGUGUACGUACAAGCAGUGGGAGCACAGGUUUACCUGUGUGACUGCGUACCUUUUGUAUAAUGGGUCAGCGACUUAUAUUCUGUAGCAAGGUUAACCGUAUAGGGGAGCCGUAGGGAAACCGAGUCUUAACCGGGCGUUAAGUUGCAGGGUAUAGACCCGAAACCCGGUGAUCUAGCCAUGGGCAGGUUGAAGGUUGGGUAACACUAACUGGAGGACCGAACCGACUAAUGUUGAAAAAUUAGCGGAUGACCUGUGGCUGGGGGUGAAAGGCCAAUCAAACCGGGAGAUAGCUGGUUCUCCCCGAAAGCUAUUUAGGUAGCGCCUCGUGAAUUCAUCUCCGGGGGUAGAGCACUGUUUCGGCUAGGGGGCCAUCCCGGCUUACCAACCCGAUGCAAACUGCGAAUACCGGAGAAUGUUAUCACGGGAGACACACGGCGGGUGCUAACGUCCGUCGUGAAGAGGGAAACAACCCAGACCGCCAGCUAAGGUCCCAAAGUCAUGGUUAAGUGGGAAACGAUGUGGGAAGGCCCAGACAGCCAGGAUGUUGGCUUAGAAGCAGCCAUCAUUUAAAGAAAGCGUAAUAGCUCACUGGUCGAGUCGGCCUGCGCGGAAGAUGUAACGGGGCUAAACCAUGCACCGAAGCUGCGGCAGCGACGCUGAUGCGUUGUUGGGUAGGGGAGCGUUCUGUAAGCCUGUGAAGGUGGCCUGUGAGGGUUGCUGGAGGUAUCAGAAGUGCGAAUGCUGACAUAAGUAACGAUAAAGCGGGUGAAAAGCCCGCUCGCCGGAAGACCAAGGGUUCCUGUCCAACGUUAAUCGGGGCAGGGUGAGUCGACCCCUAAGGCGAGGCCGAAAGGCGUAGUCGAUGGGAAACGGGUUAAUAUUCCCGUACUUGGUGUUACUGCGAAGGGGGGACGGAGAAGGCUAUGUUGGCCGGGCGACGGUUGUCCCGGUUUAAGCGUGUAGGUGUGUGUUCCAGGUAAAUCCGGUUCACUUUAACACUGAGGCGUGAUGACGAGGCACUACGGUGCUGAAGCAACAAAUGCCCUGCUUCCAGGAAAAGCCUCUAAGCAUCAGGUAACAUCAAAUCGUACCCCAAACCGACACAGGUGGUCAGGUAGAGAAUACCAAGGCGCUUGAGAGAACUCGGGUGAAGGAACUAGGCAAAAUGGUGCCGUAACUUCGGGAGAAGGCACGCUGACACGUAGGUGAAGUGAUUUACUCAUGGAGCUGAAGUCAGUCGAAGAUACCAGCUGGCUGCAACUGUUUAUUAAAAACACAGCACUGUGCAAACACGAAAGUGGACGUAUACGGUGUGACGCCUGCCCGGUGCCGGAAGGUUAAUUGAUGGGGUCAGCGCAAGCGAAGCUCCUGAUCGAAGCCCCGGUAAACGGCGGCCGUAACUAUAACGGUCCUAAGGUAGCGAAAUUCCUUGUCGGGUAAGUUCCGACCUGCACGAAUGGCGUAAUGAUGGCCAGGCUGUCUCCACCCGAGACUCAGUGAAAUUGAACUCGCUGUGAAGAUGCAGUGUACCCGCGGCAAGACGGAAAGACCCCGUGAACCUUUACUAUAGCUUGACACUGAACAUUGAGCCUUGAUGUGUAGGAUAGGUGGGAGGCUUUGAAGCGUGGACGCCAGUCUGCAUGGAGCCGGCCUUGAAAUACCACCCUUUAAUGUUUGAUGUUCUAACGUGGACCCGUGAUCCGGGUUGCGGACAGUGUCUGGUGGGUAGUUUGACUGGGGCGGUCUCCUCCUAAAGAGUAACGGAGGAGCACGAAGGUUGGCUAAUCCUGGUCGGACAUCAGGAGGUUAGUGCAAUGGCAUAAGCCAGCUUGACUGCGAGCGUGACGGCGCGAGCAGGUGCGAAAGCAGGUCAUAGUGAUCCGGUGGUUCUGAAUGGAAGGGCCAUCGCUCAACGGAUAAAAGGUACUCCGGGGAUAACAGGCUGAUACCGCCCAAGAGUUCAUAUCGACGGCGGUGUUUGGCACCUCGAUGUCGGCUCAUCACAUCCUGGGGCUGAAGUAGGUCCCAAGGGUAUGGCUGUUCGCCAUUUAAAGUGGUACGCGAGCUGGGUUUAGAACGUCGUGAGACAGUUCGGUCCCUAUCUGCCGUGGGCGCUGGAGAACUGAGGGGGGCUGCUCCUAGUACGAGAGGACCGGAGUGGACGCAUCACUGGUGUUCGGGUUGUCAUGCCAAUGGCACUGCCCGGUAGCUAAAUGCGGAAGAGAUAAGUGCUGAAAGCAUCUAAGCACGAAACUUGCCCCGAGAUGAGUUCUCCCUGAGACUUAGAGUCUCCUGAAGGAACGUUGAAGACGACGACGUUGAUAGGCCGGGUGUGUAAGCGCAGCGAUGCGUUGAGCUAACCGGUACUAAUGAACCGUGAGGCUUAACCUUACAACGCCGAAG